CUGAUGGACUCUAAAUAGAGGAGUGGGAGAGUGGAGCUGAUGGACUCUAAAUAGAGGAGUGGGAGAGUGGAGCUGAUGGACUCUAAAUAGAGGAGUGGGAGAGUGGAGCUGCUGGACUCUAAAUAGAGGAAGGGGAGAGUGGAGCUGAUGGACUCUAAAUGGGAGUGGAGCUGAUGGACUCUAAAUAGAGGAGUGUGAGAGUGGAGCUGAUGGACUUAAUGGAGGAGUGGGAGAGUGGAGCUGAUGGACUCUAAAUAGAGGAGUGAGAGAGUGGAGCUGAUGGACUCUAAAUAGAGGAGUGGGAGAGUGGAGCUGAUGGACUCUAAAUAGAGGAGUGGGAGAGGGAGCUGAUGGACUCUAAAUAGAGGAGUGGGAGAGUGGAGCUGCUGGACUCUAAAUAGAGGAGUGGGAGAGUGGAGCUGAUGGACUCUAAAUAGAGGAGUGGGAGAGUGGAGCUGAUGGACUUAAUGGAGGAGUGGGAGAGUGGAGCUGAUGGACUCUAAAUAGAGGAGUGGGAGAGUGGAGCUGAUGGACUCUAAAUAGAGGAGUGGGAGAGUGGAGCUGAUGGACUUAAUGGAGGAGUGGGAGAGUGGAGCUGCUGGACUCUAAAUAGAGGAGUGGGAGAGUGGAGCUGAUGAACUCUAAAUAGAGGCGUGGGAGAGUGGAGCUGAUGGUCCCUAAAUAGAGGAGUGGGAGAGUGGAGCUGAUGGACUCUAAAUAGAGGAGUGGGAGAGUGGAGCUGAUGGACUUAAUGGAGGAGUGGGAGAGUGGAGCUGCUAAUGAGCUUUCAUCCAGACAAAAGGUUUCUCAGUCAGACCUCACAUUCAGUGUGUGUGUGUGUGUGUGUGUGUGUGUGUGUGUAUGUGCAGUGGCAGAUUUAGGUAUAGGUGACAUGGGCGGCACUGGGUGCCCGCACAAAAGCAAAAUGGAAUGGUGACGUUUGCAUGAUCGGUUUUCUAUCGCUCAUUUGUCCGUCACGUCUUCGUUUGUGACCAGGUAGUUUGCACUACGAAGCUGUUCGGCCGUUGUUUUCUUUAUUGUUUUCUUUUGUCUAAGAGUUUCACUUCAACAAUAAAUAUUAUGUGGAACUCAAGGAACGCUGCGCCUUGGUCUCAUCCUUCCGACGACAGCCGUUACAGAAGAUCCCACCACAAAGAGACCAAGCAGCUUUUCCUGGACUCCUGGACAUGGGAGGAGAUUUUAGACGGACAGGGACCCUGGAGACAGGCUGGGGAAUAUCGUCGCCCCAAGGAAGAGCUGGAGGCAGCUAAAGCGGAGAGGCGGUGAUAUGAGGCAAGGCAGCGCAGCAGGCACGAGGCAGCCCCCAAAUUUUUUGGGGUGGGGGGCACACGGGGAGAUUGGCGGAGUCAUACCUGAGCCAACUCCCCGUGCUUACCGGAAGCAGCGGGGUACUGGCCAGGCACAGUGUUAUGCGGUGAAGUGCAAAGGGUCUCCAUUGCGUGCUCAUAGCCCGGAGUGCUAUAGGCCAGCCCCCCGCAAGUGCCAUGCGAGAGUGGGUAUCCAGCCAGGGCGGAUUGUGCCAGCUCAGUGCGCUUGGUCUCCGGUGCACCGUUUCGGUCCAGGGUAUCCUACGCCGGCUCUGCGUACUGUGUCUCCGGGGAUUUGGGAGGGUUCAGUUCGCCCUAUGCCUGCGCUCCGCCCAUGCCAGGCGAAUAUGGGCAUUGAGCCUAAGGGAGAGGUACGAUUGGUGAGCACCAGAUCUCCAGUGCUCCCCCACAGCCCGGUUCGACCUGUGCCUGCACUCUGGAGGGGCCGGGCUAAAGUGGUCAUCCAGCCUGGAGGAGUGGUGCCAAAGCUGUGCACCAGAGCUCCAGUGCUCCCCCACAGCCCGGUUCAUCCGGUGCCUCCUCCACGCACCAGGCCUCCUGUAGGUCUCCCCACGCACCAUGCUGUCUCUCCGUCUCCUCCCUCCAGGGUCGCCCUCCUGUCCGGAGCUGCCAGAGUCGCCCUCCUGUCCGGAGCUGCCAGAGUCACCCUCCUGUCCGGAGCCUGCAGUGCAGCCCUUCAGUCUAGAGGCACUCUUCAGUCCAGAGGCGCCCUUCACUACAGACUAGCCCUCCUGUCCGGAGCCUGCAGUGCAGCCCCUCAGUCCAGAGGCGCCCCUCAGUCCAGAGGCGCCCUUCACUCCAGAGUCGCCCUCCUGUCCGGAGCCUGCAGUGCAGCCCUUCAGUCUAGAAGCACUCUUCAGUCCAGAGGCGCCCUUCACUAUAGACUAGCCCUCCUGUCCUGAGCCUGCAGUGCAGCCCCUCAGCCCAGAGGCGCCCCUCAGUCCAGAGGCGCCCUUCACUCCAGACUCACCCUCCUGUCCGGAGCCUGCAGUGCAGGCAAUAGUUUACCCUACUGAACACAACUCAGGUUUUGAUUUGGGGUCGAUUUAUCUAUAUAUUGAGGGCCAUCACUGUCCUCACUGAUGUGACAAUCCGCUCCUCAAUGCGACAUUUCCCAUGGACUUAAUUUCCCAUGCAAAUCCUGCUGAAACCUACUUCCUGUUUAUAGGGGGAUUGUAGGUGUGAUCCGUAGGUGUGAACAGGAAAUGACAGCUCUUGUUUGAUUCCCCUGAGGCGAGAGGGAGACAGGGUAGUCUUUGGGCGCCUUCCAGCAGAUCACUUUUGUCAAGAUGUUGACCAAUGUUGGUCAUCGCCUUUCCAAGUGUGCUGCAUUAUGGGUAUAAAAAUUGUUGACUGCAUGACCUUUAUAACAACCAUGUGAUCAAAGGUCAUGAACUUUCAACUGCAGUAGACUGGACAUUUCUGCAGUUGCUCCUCACCAACUGAAACUUGAAGUCGGAAACAAAGCAUUGUGGCAAAGAUUUGUAUAAAUAAACCAAGAUAGACCACAGCUAAUCGUUUACAAUGGGAAUAAAUUAGUCAUAGUGGGCUGAACAAGCAAGGAGGUGGGCAGAGCCAAGCACGAGCUAUCGAGAUCCUAUUGGCACAUUCUAGUAUACAUCUGCAUUUUUCCAUUAGGGAACUAAUUUUUUUUUUUUACGCAAUGGGUAAAGUCGACAAAACUUAGUCCACUCUGUUCAUAAAAUAUUCUAGUUUUGGGAAGAGAAAAUUGAUUUGAGAUCAAAUAUUUCAUUGAUGAGAAGAUUUGCAGAAUGUCUGCCAAAAUCCAUCUCGUUCCAUCUUCUCCCAAUGCCGGCUGUGGGCUUCCUCUCACUACCAUAUUUGGUAGUGAGUGGAAACGGCAAGCGGAUGCUUCACAUUUAUACAUCCGGUGUAAUGUCUGUCUCAUUGUUCUAUCUGUGAUUGUGGGAAAUGACCUUCUUAAUUUUGAGGGGAAUUAAAAGGCACAACUGUACAUGCUCAUAAAUGGUUGAUGUCGCCACCUAUCAUUGGUUAUUAUCAAUGCAUGUGUACUGUUUUGGAUGGAUGACUAUUUAGAGCUUAAAUACAUCUUUAUCCUUACACCCUUAAGAUCUAAUUACAUAGGCCUACAUGUGAUCCAAAUUUCUAACACAAAUAAAUGAAAUAUCCUACUUACGACAAUAUAGCUAAUGUAUUUAUCCAGAUGUUACUGUAAUGUGGUGUCCCAUGUUGUAGCCUACAAUUAGUCUUGUCUGUAAUAUUGUUGUCAGCAAACAAACAAACAUACAUUUGUUGAUUGUAUUUUAAAUGUGAAUAAAAUUUAAAUCCUAUUGUAGACUACACAUGGAUUAUUGUAGAAAUUGUAGCUUAAUCUGUGUCUGGAAAACCGUCCCUUAAUGAUCAAGUACCCUAGACACCAGUCGUGGGGUCAAUACCAGGUCUAUUUGACUGCCUGGCAUAUUUUGACAUCAUCUAAUUAUUCUCAUAUUGUUUAUCCAAUAACUUAUUUGAACUGAUGUACACGUGUAGGCUAAUUAUUCUCAUAUUGUUUAUCCAAUAACUUAUUUGAACUGAUGUACACGUGUAGGCUAAUUAUUCUCAUAUUGUUUAUCCAAUAACUUAUUUGAACUGAUGUACACGUGUAGGCUAUAAUAAUUAUUUUCUGGACAGUGAGUGUUUUGUCCUUCAUGUGAUUAUGUUGUUUUUAAUUCAAAGGUUCAUAAACACUCUUUGUGGACUCCAUUUAAUCACAUCUGUUACAAUUCCAUGUUGCACAAUCACAAAUAAUAAUGAGG
ensembl:lncRNA